GGUGAGAUGCAGGAGUGGUUGAACUGGCAUGCCUGGAAAGCAUGUAUACGGGCAACCGUAUCGAGGGUUCGAAUCCCUCUCUCACCGCCA
rnacentral:tRNA from 1 species